rnacentral:rRNA from 1 species
UACGUAGGGGGCAAGCGUUGUCCGGAAUUAUUGGGCGUAAAGAGCGUGUAGGCGGUCCGGUAAGUCAGCUGUGAAAGUCAAGGGCUCAACCCUUGAAUGCCGGUUGAUACUGUCGGGCUAGAGUCCGGAAGAGGCGAGUGGAAUUCCCGGUGUAGCGGUGAAAUGCGCAGAUAUACGGGGGAACACCAGGGGCGAAGGCGGAUCGCUGGGCCAACACUGACGCUGAUGUGCGAAAGCUAGGGGAGCAAACGGG